GGUCCGGUGGUGUAGUUGGAUUAUCACAUCGUUCUUAUAUAUGAGCUUAAACUCUCUUAAUAUGCGAAGGUCCUGGGUUCAAGCCCCAGUCGGACCA